AUGCUGGCACCGGCAGCGAUGGAGGUGCCGAUUGAUGGCACGGUGAGCACCACGAUCGCGUCUGUGAACGCGGUGCACAAUCCACGGGCACGCAAGUUGCGGUCUGCUGUUUGGCAGGACUUCACCAAGGAGCGCCGUGCUGACGGCAAUUGUGUCGCUAUCUGUAACCACUGCAAGAAGCAGCUCACAGCAACCAGCCGGUCAGGCACCACACACCUACGCAACCACCUUGCGAUAUGCACCACCACCUCUACACGCCGUGCUGGUAAGCGUCGGAAGCUGAUUGUGCGCCGUAUUCUCCACAACAAAACAUCCACUGGGCAGCCUGGCGAUGGACAUGCCUCUGGUGAGGACAAUGACAAUGAUAGCACACACUUUGAUCAAGAACUCAGCCGGCAUGACCUUGCCCGUAUGAUUGUCCAGCAUGGCUACCGGUUUUCAAUAGUGGAUGAUCUGGGGUUUCGAAAGUUCGUCAAGAAUCUCCAGCCACAGUUUAGCAUGGUGUCAUAUGACAUAGUGAGAGCUGAUAGCAUGGCAAUUUAUGAAAGUGAGAAGCUGAAGCUCCAGGAUGUGCUCCUCAAGACCCCUUGCCGGGUUAGCAUGUCAGUUGAUAUGUGGCGAUCGAGUACACAGAUGGACUACUUGUGUUUGACCUGCCAUUACAUUGAUCAUUCCGGCGAUGAAUGGAAACUUAGGAAAAAAAUUCUUAACUUUGUGCAUGUCGAGGAACAUUUUACAGCCAAUCAGAUUGCCAAUCUCAUUCUGGAGAAGUUGCAGCAGUGGGGUAUUGAAAGGAAGCUAGCUGCUGUUGUGCUAGACAACUGCACUGCUGGUGACAUUGUUGCCACAGAACUUCUCAGAGUUAUGCAGCCUAGGAGACUUCUCCUGUUAAACGGAAAUUUGUUCCAUGUGCGCUCUUGUGCACAUAUUCUGAAUCUCACAGUUGAAGAAAGCUUGGAACAGACAUCUGACAUAAUAAAUAGAGUCCGUGAGAUGAUUCAGAAUGUCAAGUUCUCACAGGAAAGGCUUCAAAAGUUUCUCGAUACCGCAAAGCUGCUGCAGAUUGACCAAAAACUGUUAGUUCUUGAUUCUCCAAACAACUGGCCGUCCACUUACUUAAUGUUUGAUUCUGCAUGCUAUUAUCACGAUGUGCUUGUGCGCCUUGCAGAACAGGAAGCACAUUAUGCUGCUUUCUUGACCGCUAAGGAGUGGGCUGAUGUGAAAGCCCUCACUGAAAUACUUGACGCGCUCAAUAAUACAAUGGAGAAGUUUCCAGUGGAAAACCCGACCGCAAACCUAUAUUUCAAUGACAUGUGUGAGAUCCAGGUUCUUUUGAACACCUGGCGCAAUAGUCCAUCUCCUGUUGUUGCACAAGUGGCUGGCCGAAUGCUGAAAAAAUUCGAGGGAUACUGGGAUCUUACUAGGCCAGUAAUGGCAUUUGCAUCCAUACUGGAUCCUCGGUACAAGAUGAAGUCAAUUGAGUAUUUUUUUCAGCUGAUUUAUGGAAAUGACCAAUUUACAGCAAAGGCAACAAUAGAAGCCAUCAAGCAAAGCUUUACCAGCCUGUGCAAUGAGUAUGAACAUUCAGCAGAUUCAUUGAAGAAUCCAGCUGUUCUCUUCUACGCUGGAAACAGUAGUUCUUGCAUGAGCUCUGUGUACAACAAUGGAAAUGACUCUAAGACCUUCUCUCGCAUCACAUUAUCAGAUGCCCGACGGGGACUUGAUCAGUAUAUUCAGGAGUCAUCGUCAGGCCAGUCCUUCAAGUCUGACUUGGACUUGUAUCUUGAGGAAGCUGUCUAUCGUCAAAAGGAAGGGAAUCAAGAUAAUUUUGACAUCCUGGGAUGGUGGAAGUCUUUUGCGGCAAAGUAUCCUGUCCUUUCUCAAAUGGCCCGUGAUAUUCUUGCUAUCCCUGUAUCUAUCAUCCCACUGGACAGUGAAGCCCGGGUGCUGAAUGAGUAUCUCAGUACUAUGGACCCUUCAACGGUUGAGGGAUUGGUCUGCGCGCAAGAUUGGUUACGUGCAGACACAGAAGUUGCUAAUUCAGAUGGCCAUGUAGAUGAUAAAGUGCCACGUGGCGACGAACUUAUUGUGGCACCGAAUUAG
rnacentral:rRNA from 1 species